AACGAACGCUGGCGGCAUGCCUAACACAUGCAAGUCGAACGAGAUCUUCGGGUCUAGUGGCGCACGGGUGCGUAACGCGUGGGAAUCUGCCCUUUGGUUCGGAAUAACAGUUGGAAACGACUGCUAAUACCGGAUGAUGACGAAAGUCCAAAGAUUUAUCGCCAGAGGAUGAGCCCGCGUAGGAUUAGCUAGUUGGUGUGGUAAAGGCGCACCAAGGCGAAGAUCCUUAGCUGGGCUGAGAGGAAGAUCAGCCACACUGGGACUGAGACACGGCCCAGACUCCUACGGGAGGCUGCAGUGGGGAAGAUUGGACAAUGGGCGAAAGCCUGAGCCAGCAAGGCCGCGUGAGUGAUGAAGGCCUUAGGGUGGUAAAGCUCUUUUACCCGGGAUGAUAAUGACAGUACCGGGAGAAUAAGCGCCGGCUAACUCCGUGCCAGCCGCCGCCGUAA
rnacentral:rRNA from 1 species